GAAUCUUCCACAAUGGACGAAAGUCUGAUGGAGCAAUGCCGCGUGAGUGAAGAAGGUUUUCGGAUCGUAAAACUCUGUUGUGAGGGAAGAACAAGUACGAGAGUAACUGCUCGUCCACUGCCGGUACCUCAUUAGAAAUCCACGGCUAACUACGUGCCAGCAGCCGCGGUAAUACGUAGGUGGCAAGCGUUGUCCGGAAUUGUUGGGCGUAAAGCGCGCGUAGGCGGUCCUUUAAGUCUGAUGUGAAAUCCCACGGCUCAACCGUGGAAGGUCAUUGGAAACUGGGGGACUUGAGUACAGAAGAGGAAAGCGGAAUUCCAAGUGUAGCGGUGAAAUGCGUAGAGAUUUGGAGGAACACCAGUGGCGAAGGCGGCUUUCUGGUCUGUAACUGACGCUGAGGCGCGAAAGCGUGGGAGCAAACAG
rnacentral:rRNA from 1 species